rfam:Gossypium hirsutum cultivar TM-1 unplaced genomic scaffold scaffold71.1, whole genome shotgun sequence
CACGUCAGCGCGCUUUGCUGACGUGGACACAAAUCACGUCCUCUGAAGCGCGAUUUGUUGCCAUGUCAGCAAAGCGCCCUGACAUGG